rnacentral:lncRNA from 1 species
GAAAAUAAAUCUAACUAGGGUAAGGGUGAACCUGACGGUAUACCUGAAGCUCUGAUUACCACUUGAUGUGGACUAGGGUCCCGAUCUUCCAAAAGGUUCAGUUAAUCAACGAUUUGGGCGGAGUUGCUACACAAAUCGAUCCGGCUUCCGAACAACACGUUCCGAACCCCGCAAUCGCAGCACAACGUCUCCUCAGGUUAUUGACCGGCAAUGCACGGUCAACCUCACCAAGAAGGCUAAUCCUU